UAGGGAAUCUUCGGCAAUGGGGGCAACCCUGACCGAGCAGCGCCGCGUGAGUGAAGAAGGUUUUCGGAUCGUAAAGCUCUGUUGUAAGUCAAGAACGAGUGUGAGAGUGGAAAGUUCACACUGUGACGGUAGCUUACCAGAAAGGGACGGCUAACUACGUGCCAGCAGCCGCGGUAAUACGUAGGUCCCGAGCGUUGUCCGGAUUUAUUGGGCGUAAAGCGAGCGCAGGCGGUUUGAUAAGUCUGAAGUUAAAGGCUGUGGCUCAACCAUAGUUCGCUUUGGAAACUGUCAAACUUGAGUGCAGAAGGGGAGAGUGGAAUUCCAUGUGUAGCGGUGAAAUGCGUAGAUAUAUGGAGGAACACCGGUGGCGAAAGCGGCUCUCUGGUCUGUAACUGACGCUGAGGCUCGAAGGCGUGGGGAGCGAACAGGAUUAGAUACCCUGGUAGUCCACGCCGUAAACGAUGAGUGCUAGGUGUUGGAUCCUUUCCGGGAUUCAGUGCCGCAGCUAACGCAUUAAGCACUCCGCCUGGGGAGUACGACCGCAAGGUUG
rnacentral:rRNA from 1 species